GCGUGCGAGUCUUUGGGUUGUUGCCAACCCGCGGGCGUAAUGAGAGUGAAGGGAACUUCGUGCUCCCGAGGCGAGAGCCUACUCCCUGUGGGCGCAUCGUCGACCGAUCCCGGGCUACGCUGUGGCGGGAUUCGAGUGAGAGCGUGCCUGUUGCGACCCGAAAGAUGGUGAACUAUGCCUGAAUGGGGCGAAGCCAGAGGAAACUCUGGUGGAAGCUCGCAGCGGUUCUGACGUGCAAAUCGAUCGUCAAAUUUGGGUAUAGGGGCGAAAGACUAAUCGAACCGUCUAGUAGCUGGUUCCCUCCGAAGUUUCCCCCAGGAUAGCUGGAGCCCGGUGCAGUUUUAUCAGGUAAAGCGAAUGAUUAGAGGUCUUGGGGUUGAAACAACCUCAACCUAUUCUCAAACUUUAAAUGGGUAAGAAGCUCGGCUUGCUCGGUUGAAGUCGGGCGUGGGAAUGCCGGGGCUCCUAGUGGGCCAUUUUUGGUAAGCAGAACUGGCGAUGCGGGAUGAACCGAACGCCGGGUUAAGGUGCCCGAAUCGACGCUCAUCAGAUCCCAUAAAAGGUGUUGGUUGAUUCAAACAGCAGGACGGUGGCCAUGGAAKUCGGAAUCCGYUAAG
rnacentral:rRNA from 1 species